rnacentral:rRNA from 1 species
UGUAUUUAUUAGAUAAAAAACCAAUGCCCUUCGGGGCUUUUUGGUGAUUCAUGAUAACUUUACGGAUCGCAUAGCCUUGCGCUGGCGACGGUUCAUUCAAAUUUCUGCCCUAUCAACUUUCGAUGGUAAGGUAUUGGCUUACCAUGGUUUCAACGGGUAACGGGGAAUUAGGGUUCGAUUCCGGAGAGGGAGCCUGAGAAACGGCUACCACAUCCAAGGAAGGCAGCAGGCGCGCAAAUUACCCAAUCCCGACACGGGGAGGUAGUGACAAUAAAUACUGAUACAGGGCUCUUUUGGGUCUUGUAAUUGGAAUGAGUACAAUUUAAACCUCUUAACGAGGAACAAUUGGAGGGCAAGUCUGGUGCCAGCAGCCGCGGUAAUUCCAGCCCCAAUAGCGUAUAUUAAAGUUGUUACAGUUAAAAAGCUCGUAGUUGAAACUUGGGCCUGGCUGGCGGGUCCGCCUCACCGCGUGCACUCGUCCGGCCGGGCCUUCCUUCUGAAGAACCUCAUGCCCUUCACUGGGCGUGCUGGGGAACCAGG